rnacentral:rRNA from 2 species
UACAGAGGGUGCGAGCGUUGUCCGGAAUUACUGGGCGUAAAGGGCGCGUAGGCGGUUCAAUAAGUAGGAGGUGAAAUCUCACGGCUCAACCGGGAGGCUGCCUUCUAGACUGUUGGACUUGAGCACGGUAGAGGCAGAUGGAAUUCCCGGUGUAGCGGUGGAAUGCGUAGAGAUCGGGAAGAACACCAGUGGCGAAGGCGGUCUGCUGGGCCGUUGCUGACGCUGAGGCGCGACAGCGUGGGGAGCAAACAGG